GUGCGCACCAGCGUCUCUCUCACAGCCUGCGCGCGGAGCCGAGGACUCGUAUCGCGCUCCGCCAGCAGCCUCUCGCUGCUCUCAUUUGAGCACGCGGCUCGCGGCACACGCACACACACUUUCUCUCUCUCCUUCUCCUGCAUUCGGACUCCAACCGAGAGAGGAUUUAACACACGAGGCCAGCUGCGGAGGACGUCCCGAGCCCCUAAAAACGCGAGAUGUUUCUCCUAGCUGCUCCCGCAGACAGGAAUCCGCUCACAGAGACGAGAGCCACGCUCUCCCCCAGGAGAGGAGUACAAAGGCCAGUCUGCACGCGGCAGAUGCAAAACCAAGUCCAUCUGCUGCAGGCUUCCCAUCGCCACAUGGAGAUUGAAAAGUGAGGGGAGCGUUCGCGUAGACGCCGCUGGAACGUGAGCGAGGAACCAGCUGUUGGGCUUUGGACCGCAAGGUCAAUGAGGACAAACAAUUCCAGCAGCGGCUCUCAAGCGCAUGCAGAAGAAAGUGUCGGGUGCGGGGGGAUGGACUCGUGUGGUGGCAGAACUGGUGUCUCCGAGCACUGGCAUAAUUUCCAUGGCAACCUCCUAAACUAUUAAUUUUCAAUUAACGCAGACAAAACGCCCUGCCCCAAGCCUCCGGAAGGUGUCAAGAGAGGGAAACUGGGCCUUUUAGGAGCCACAACACCACUAGGCUCCUUCAUAGUGGCAAAAAUCACACCACUAAACAACAGUGAACAUAUAAAUCCUAUUUUUAUUUCACAAUCACACCAGUGAGAACACCAAAACCACAAUUGAAACUCAUGCAUGGUAAAUAUUAGUGAUUAAUGGGAUGAUAUUUGAAUUAUGUCCCUUGGUCGAUUACCAGAGGUGUUACCUCCCCCUUGUGUCAGUUUUAAAAUCUGACAAGACUGUCAAGUGCUAAUAAAAAGCUAUUUUUACAAUUUUGGGGUGAAUUUUAGUAACACUGCAUGAAAUAAGGUGUACAAAUCUCAUUUGCGGCCAUUAAAUUGUACUAUUCAUGAAGUUGGACAGAAAUCAUAAGGAAAAAUUUACAUUCUUUUUAAAUUCUAAAUUAUACAAUUUAAGAAAAGUUGGAAAAAAAAAAUAAUGUGCACAAACUCUACUAGUAUAAUACUAUAUGAUCACGCUCUCCUGCACGAUUUUAGAUGAUCCAAAGUAGUCUUGAAAAUCUGACCAUCUGUACUGUACAUAACUGGGGGAAAAAAAGGUGACCUAGAAAUAGUGCAGAAUCUUUAACAUUUCUUAUUUGUUUUGAAUAUUUUUUCCAUUUUUCAAAAUGCCAGUUCUCUGUUUAUACCUAAUUAGAUUACACUUUGAAUUCCACAUUUUCAAUGAGACCCAGUAUGUUGGUAUUAUAUCAGCCACCCUGCUCUCUAGAUAUUGGCAUCAGCCCUUGAAAAACUCCUACCGGUCGACCACCACUAAAGAUUGAGCUAACAGCAGAUUAAGCUGAGCUAGUGUGCACUCACUGAGAGUCUGAUGUGUGUUUCAGGCCUCACAGAAACGCCGGCAGCAUUAAAGCUGUUCUCUGGCUGGAGAGUUAUCCACUUGAGCUCAUCUCCGCCUCCGAUCCAUUCGGCUGAUGACUGAGCCUGUGGAACGCACUCCACGCUUGUAAACAGCCCUAAUAAACUCUCAGCCGAGGGUCUGCCUGUAUCCUCAGUGUACACUUAUUUGCACAUGUAUGAGUUUGAUACAAAAUGUGACACUCAAACACUGCAAAUUUAAAAGUAUCUUAGUCCCUAAUCACAGUCAAUUUAAAUCAAACACCUUCAGCGUUCAUUAAGAGUUACACAUCCCAGACUGAUCAGCUGCUGUUUACCCAAUUUAAGAUUGUUGUGUAAGUCAAUAACCAUUGGCUUGGUUGACUAACAGAAGGAUUAGUUCCCCCUUGUGUCAAAAUCUACAAACAGCGUUACUACUACUACUACUACUACUACUAC